AUGGCGAGUUUGAUCCUGGCUCAGAGCGAACGCUGGCGGCGUACUUAACACAUGCAAGUCGAACGAGGAUCGUCGGGUUAGCAAUAAUUCGGCGGUCCGAGUGGCGUACGGGUGAGUAACACGUGGGUAACCUGUCCUCGAGACCGGGAUACCCUCUCGAAAGGGAGGCUAAUACUGGAUACGUUUCCCGGGUCGCCAGACCUGGGAAGGAAAGGUGGCGCAAGCUACCGCUCUUGGAGGGGCUCGCGGCCUAUCAGCUAGUUGGUGAGGUAACGGCUCACCAAGGCGAUGACGGGUAGCUGGUCUGAGAGGACGACCAGCCACACGGGAACUGAGACACGGUCCCGACUCCUACGGG
rnacentral:rRNA from 1 species